GACGAACGCUGGCGGCGUGCUUAACACAUGCAAGUCGAACGGAAAGGCCCUGCUUUUGUGGGGUGCUCGAGUGGCGAACGGGUGAGUAACACGUGAGUAACCUGCCCUUGACUUUGGGAUAACUUCAGGAACCUGGGGCUAAUACCGGAUAGGAGCUCCUGCUGCAUGGUGGGGGUUGGAAAGUUUCGGCGGUUGGGGAUGGACUCGCGGCUUAUCAGCUUGUUGGUGGGGUAGUGGCUUACCAAGGCUUUGACGGGUAGCCGGCCUGAGAGGGUGACCGGCCACAUUGGGACUGAGAUACGGCCCAGACUCCUACGGGAGGCAGCAGUGGGGAAUAUUGCACAAUGGGCGGAGGCCUGAUGCAGCAACGCCGCGUGCGGGAUGACGGCCUUCGGGUUGUAAACCGCUUUCGCCUGUGACGAAGCGUGAGUGACGGUAAUGGGUAAAGAAGCACCGGCUAACUACGUG
rnacentral:rRNA from 1 species